CCUACGGGCGGCAGCAGUGGGGAAUAUUGCACAAUGGGGGAAACCCUGAUGCAGCAACGCCGCGUGAACGAAGAAGUUAUUCGUAAUGUAAAGUUCUUUUAACAGGGAAGAAAGAGAAAUUUGACGGUACCUGAAGAAUAAGCUCCGGCUAACUACGUGCCGGCAGCCGCGGUAAUACGUAGGGAGCGAGCGUUAUCCGGAAUUAUUGGGCGUAAAGGGUGCGUAGAUGGCAUAGUAAGUCUUUUGUAAAAAUGCUGGGCUCAACCCAGUAGGGCAAAAGAUACUGCAAAGCUAGAGUAUGACAGAGGCAAGUGGAACUACAUGUGUAGCGGUAAAAUGAGUAAAUAUAUGUAAGAACACCAGUGGCGAAGGCGGCUUGCUGGGUCGAUACUGACAUUGAGGCACGAAAGCGUGGGGAGCAAACAGGAUUAGAUACCCUUGUAGGC
rnacentral:rRNA from 1 species